UUUUAUAGCACUUUUUACAACUGAUGUCGCAUAGCAUCUUUACAGAAAUCUGAUCUCAUUACAGAGAACCAGACAAAACAUUGAACAUACAACACAGUACCUCCAGUGAACAACAGAGGCAAGAAAAAAAAUCCUCAGAGCUGGAGAAGAAGAAUGAAACCAUGGGCCUCAGAGGUGUUCCUGCAUUGAGCUUCUGUUUUCCUGUGCUUCCUGUAUUCCUGUCUUAUCUCCUCUGUAGAGGUAUUCCG
rnacentral:lncRNA from 1 species